AUGCAUGCAGUCCCCCUUUGCGUAAAGCGUGAAAAUAGACUAACUAGUAAAGCCGGUGUACAGAGAAAAUAAAUCAUGUCCAUAACUCACUGGGAAACUCCAUAGCGGUAUCCGCAUAGCCCCUCACAGGGUCCUCGUGGUUUGGCCCAUAAGUCCGUCUAUUGCCCAUUAAUUGGAAACGAAGCUCUUUUGUGGAUCUCCUGCACUUAUCCGCCCCUUUGGAGCCAGAGUAAAGGAAAUAAAUUUAAAUUUCCUGAAAGUCCCUUCUGUGUGUCAUAGAGGAGGGGGUGUCCUCCAGGGGCUACAGGAGGCUUUCCCAUCAGACAGGAAGUGAAGGUUUUGGGCUCGCAGCCAGCUGAGUCUACUCCUCUGGCGCGACACAAGACAGGAAGCUGACAUAAAAGAAUGGAGGGGACUGUCUGUGAGGGACACAGGAGCCAAGGCAGGAGUCAAGACAGAAGCCACCGACGAGGUCGGAAGUUAUUGUUUCAGCUUACAGGCAUCCACGGUGACAAGAGUCUUAUCCCUCUAUCGCACAAAUUGUGAUCCCAUGGUGAUGGCCCCAAGUGUGGAAAACAUUCCAGGAUAGGAACCUCAUCACUGGAGUUUCUCCCUGCCCAAAUGCUGUCAUUUGGCCCACAAGUAAAGCAUUUAACACCCUAAAUACUCCAGUGGAACACUUGCUGGCCAAUAACACAACACUGCAGUUGUGAAAAAGAAGGCGACAGGUGUAUAACUUUUUAGACCAACCCCAUUGCAACUAUUCCUGAAGAAUGUGAUGAGAUGUGUUUCAACUUCCCUUGCUAAAAUGGGCUAACGUGACUAAGGGUCUUCGCCAGUACACACACUUGCCCACUUGAGCACUGAAAGGCAUGACCAUGUGCUGUCAGGUAGUAGGCAAGUGUGUCAGGACAACUCUAAAGUCCCUUUCCCACCAUACAAAAAACCCCACAAACACCCUUUACCAUCUGACGCAAGCAGCAGACAUAGGGCAUAGAGCGACACUAUUCAAUCAAUAGUAAUUCUUUGUCCAAACUCUGGUCCUCAAGACCUAGGGUACUGUUCUCUGCUCAGCCAAAUGUUUCAUGAUUGAUCUAGUAUCUUAUCUAAAUUAGUCCCUAUUCAACAGGUAGAAUACAAUCAGGAGAGUGCGCAAUUGAGAAAAUUGGAAACCACUGCUUGGUAACUUUUCUCUGAUUUCUUACUUUAAAGCACUCACCACAUUGCUUCCACUCAACAUCCAUGCACUUCUGAUUAAAUUACAGUGUAUUGCUCUGGAACCAUACCUGUCAUAAAUACUGUAUUAUUUAACCCUCUGACAUUGACAUAGUCACAUUCUGUCUCUAACCAUUCUCCCUCUUUUUUCAUAUUUGCUACCCAAGAAUAUGUCCCUUAUGUCUUCAGAUAUUUCCCUACUCUCCUGUUGCCCUGUGAGCAAUUCUUUAGCUCUAUCAUCAGACUUUUUUUUCUAUCGGGUAUUCUCCCUGUUGCCAAGCUGACUUGGGUGGUAUUAUUUCUGUCCUAGCUGCCCCUAGCCUCACACCUUCUGUUAUCCAACAGGCCUCUAAUCACUUGUCAUUUCCACUUCACACUCUACUCCCCUCUUUUGGCUGUCCUGUCUGCUAUUCCCCUGACUCGCUGGCCCUGACUGCAUGCCUUUUACUACUUCAGAAUGCAGGUUUUACAUUCCAAUUCAACCUUUCACCCCCAUUUGUAUUUUGUAUUAUGUGGGUGUGAGUAUUUAGCACAAAGAAUGUCUACUUAGAUAUACACACAUUAAUUCCGACUUUCCCUUAGUUUGACUGGCUGGGUUAUUUACACUUCCUGUCAACAUAAGCUUGAUAGACAAUAGGACAAUUGUCUAACAUUAAGUGAUAAUCUGAUUACUCCAGAAAUUUACAGCCAACACUAAAGCAUUAUUCUGGCCUUUGUGCCUUGCUCUUACUCGCCUUUCUUCAUUUGCACCAAAAUAAAACAAUAAAUACUGUAUAUUCAAUUACAACCAUGUUUCUUUUGCAUCCAACUAAAAUUUCAUUUGGUUUCUUAUCUAAACCUCCUCCUGGGCUGCACUGUGAAAGAACAAAGACCUCCCAUUAGGUAGUUAUCUCUCACUGUAUUAAUCCCUGAGUGUGCACACACUCAUUUAGCCAGUGCAUUUGAUUCUAAUAAAACUGAUGGCCAUUGUUGACAAUGUAGACGCACAGAUGGUGCACUCAAAAGCAAAAGCGAAGCCGUCACAGCACACAAGUGUUCUCAACUGCUGUAGCUGGUAGGCUACACAAAGUUGAACCUUUGGAGGGCAGCAGCAUGUACAGAAUGUCAUGUGAUGAGGAGCAACCAAUCACAACAUUUUUCCUUUCUUCCGUAAAUAUCAGUCUACGGUAACUAUGAAGGAGAAGCUCAUAGUCUUAGUGCAGAGCUAACCAGAGCUGCCCGCCCUGUCCAGCACCAUGAAUAUAUUAAUAGCUUACACACUUACGAAGAACAACGACUGGAGCAACUUGCCAAGUAGGUUAUGGUUGCUUAGCAACAUCAGGCGCAACCUGCCUCUGCUCCCCUUGAAAGUUGGCACACAAGCAGCACCUAGCACCCGACCUUGCAGUGAUCCCAGUGCCAGAAAAGCAAUAUGCUGGGGCCAGGUGGCUGCCAUGUGAGACUCAUGGCAAUGAUUGGGACAACGUAACAUCACGUGUAAGAGGACACGCUGUCUCCUAGAAAUUAAGACUAAUUUGUUUUGCAAAAUACAUUAAGAAGAAAACAGAAUUGCCACCUUGGAUUGUGUUUUACGGCGGUGUUUUUCUAAGCGAAGGAAGAACUACAACGUUCUGCACGUAAGUCGUAUAGAAAUGGUUUAUUGGAUGGUAGGCACCCAAAAACCUGAGACAGAGGUUCACAUCCAUCAUGGGUGCCUCAUGUUGUUAGAUUUAGGCAACAAAAGCAGGUUGGUUAAGGUCAUGAAAAGAUCCUGGUUUUGGUUAAAUGUUAAUAAAGUAAACACUGCAUGUCUUGUGGUUCAAGUGGAACAGUCUGUCUCCAGGUUCUUUCAUUGCCAUUUUGCAUCCAUCCACCAGAUGCCCUCGGACUAUCCCUUCUUUCCCCAUCACCUGACUGCCCCAUCCAUCUACACACCUGUUUCCACUUCCCUAAUCUGCUCUGCAGUCACCUGAGCUAAGCUGCAGUGCAUUCCCUCAUCACUCGCUAUAAAUACUAGUCAAGAUGUUUAGUUUGCUUUCAGUUUAUCAAAGUUGCGAUUGGAUUUUCUGUCAAUGAUUCAAGCUUUUGUACCAGACCUACUGCCUAAUUUGGACUCUUUCCAUUUUG